GGAUGUGAGGGCGAUCUGGCUGCGACAGCUGUCACCCCAUUGAUCGCCAGGGUUGAUUCGGCUGAUCUGGCUGGCUAGGCGGGUGUCCCCUUCCUCCCUCACCGCUCCAUGUGCGUCCCUCCCGAAGCUGCGCGCUCGGUCGAAGAGGACGACCAUCCCCGAUAGAGGAGGACCGUUCUUCGGUCAAGGGUACACGAGUAGCUGCGCUCCCCUGCUAGAACCUCCGAACAAGCUCUCAAAACAAUGCCAAUGCAACUUCAUGUUUUUAAGUGGGAGAGUCAUUUGGAAAGAUGACUUUAAAUCUUUUAAGGAAAAAUAUUACACCCGUUUUAAAU
rnacentral:snRNA from 1 species